rnacentral:rRNA from 1 species
AUUGAACGCUGGCGGCAUGCCUUACACACGCAAGUCGAACGGCAGCACGGGGCAACCUGGUGGCGAGUGGCGAACGGGUGGGUAAUGUAUCGGAACGUGCCCAGUCGUGGGGGAUAACUGCUCGAAAGAGCAGCUAAUACCGCAUACGACCUGAGGGUGAAAGCGGGGGACCGUAAGGCCUCGCGCGAUUGGAGCGGCCGAUAUCAGAUUAGGUAGUUGGUGAGGUAAAGGCUCACCAAGCCGACGAUCUGUAGCUGGUCUGAGAGGACGACCAGCCACACUGGGACUGAGACACGGCCCAGACUCCUACGGGAGGCAGCAGUGGGGAAUUUUGGACAAUGACGCAAGUACUGAUCA